GACGAACCGUGCGAACGUUAUUCGGAAUCACUGGGCUUAAAGGGCGCGUAGGCGGGCGGCCAAGUCAGGGGUGAAAGCCCCCAGCUCAACUGGGGAAGUGCCUUUGAUACUGGUUGUCUCGAGGGAGGUAGGGGCGUGCGGAACUUCCGGUGGAGCGGUGAAAUGCGUAGAGAUCAGGAAGAACACCCGUGGCGAAGGCGGCCCACUGGGCCGGUGCUGACGCUGAGGCGCGAAGGCGUGGGGAGCGAACGGG
rnacentral:rRNA from 1 species